CAUAACUUUAUAGAAAAUAAUAAGAUUUGGUAGGUUUUUAAUUAAAUAUGGUAUGUGUCAGAUUUCUGGUGUUUUUUUCUCAUUAUGAGAGGAAAUUACUUUUUAUAAAAUUUGGUAGGUUUUGAUAUUUUAUAAAAAAUAUUUCUGUAAAUUUUUUGUUGAACCAAACACAAUUUACAGAAAUCUCUGGAAAACUUUUAAUUACAAAUUUGCCUUGCCAUUGUCAGAUGUUUUGAGAAAAGUUUUCUCAAAAAAUGUGCAACCAAACAGCCCCUUAAAGAAGAAUUUGGUUCUUCGGUGCAACGAUCUUAAGGCCAAAUUGCUUUCAGGAACUACAAUGCAGUAUUUUGGUGUGCACCGACCCAGUACUUUUAAGAUCUUCUCCAUCUAUAAGACCUUAUGGUCAAGACAACAAUCUCUUCGAUCUAUAAGACCUUAUGGUCAAGACAACAAUCUCCUUGAUCUAUAAGAUCUUUCGGUCUAGGCACUGUUCCUACAAGCAUUGGCUAUAUUUUACAACAUAUAUAUAUGUAUAUAUAUAUAUUGUAUUGGAUGUUGUUUUUGAGAGAAUCAUCAUUCAGAGGUUAAAGCGGCAGGAUCGCUCCCCGUCCACCUUGACAAAGAUCACCUUGACAAAGAUCCACUUCGUCUUGGCCCUAGCGUCGAGCCGCCGUCGUUAGGGUUAUUGUACAUCUUCAUUCAGAUACUUAGAGAGAAGCUAGCACCGACGUAGUUAGGGUUAUUGUACAUCUCAGAUACUUAGAGAGAGAAACUAGCAAUGACCAUCAAUCAAGGUGAUGAAAGUUAUUGUUCAUCUUCAUUCAGAUACUUAGAGAGAAGCUAGCACCGACGUAGUUAGGGUUAUUGUACACCUCAGAUACUUAGAGAGAGAAACUAGCAAUGACCAUCAAUCAAGGUGAUGAAAGGCGAGAAGAAACUGGCCUACGACAAGAAGCUAUGUAGCCUCUUGGAUGAGUACAGUCAGGUUCUAAUCGCUGCCGCUGCCAACGUCGCCUUCGUGGGGAUUCAGUGAUACUCAUGGGGAAGAACACCCUCAUCAGGCGUUUCAUCAAGUCUCGCGCUGAGAGCACCGACAACAAGAACUACCUGAACCUUAUGGAAAUGUGGGGUUGAUCUUUACCAAGGGAGAUCUCAAGGAAGUUAGCGAGGAGGUCGCUAAAUACAAGGUUGGAGCACCUGCUCGUGUUGGACUUGUGGAUCAUCUAAUUAGCCCCAUGAUUUUCCACGGAGGGUCCCCUACAGGAAUUUUCUCCUCCAUCAUCACCACCACCAUCCUCCUCUUCUUCUCCCCCUCCCCCUCUCUUUAUAUAUAUAUACAUGUAUAUAUAUAUGAAAAAUUCCCCAAGGAUUCAAAAUA